rnacentral:rRNA from 1 species
CUGCUGCCUUCCGUAGGAGUCUGGGCCGUGUCUCAGUCCCAGUGUGGCUGGUCGUCCUCUCAGACCAGCUACUGAUCGUUGCUUUGGUGAGCCGUUACCUCACCAACCGGCUAAUCAGUCAUCGGCCGCUCCGCUCGCGAGAGGCCCUUGCGGGUCCCCCUCUUUCUUCCGUAGAACUCAUGCGGUAUUAGCCAACCCUUCGGCUGGUUGUCCCCCACGAGCGGACACGUUCCGAUGUAUUACUCACCCGUUCG